UUUAAUGUUUUGUGAGAGUUGACGGUAAAUCCUACUUCUUCGUUGCCCAUCUGAGAUCGGGGUGCUAUUCUGGCACUCAGGAAGUCUGCUCUCCUUGCGCGUGCCUCAUGCAAAUAUGCGCUAGGGGUGACCGUACAGGAAGAAGUCUUCUUUUUUUUCCCCUCCUACUAGCAUUUGCUUUUUUAUGUACCUUAACGGAAUGUAGAUUUAUCCAAAGCGUGUUCUUCCUCAUUACAUUUUUCACUCUUAGUCAAAAGCCAUUUUGUGGUAAGCUGUUUUAUUUCACAUGUCUGCCUUUACUCUCAAGACAAACUGCUGUUGAUUCUUGAUUAAUUCUUCAGAGAUUUUUCUCACAUUUCUGGCCCAUCAUUAAUUGCAAUAAGUUAUUUAAGAACUGUCAGUCUUUCCCAAAAUUGCUAAAUCCUCCAGAGUUCUUGCAUAUUCAGAGUGUUUUCUGUAUGCUGUCCCUGAUAGCUUCCCAUAAAGAGGAGGCUAAUCCAAAUGGCUGACACUGGGGCAGAAGCCCAGCAAAGACACCAGUGGUGGAACAAAGACUUUUUUUCAGUGUCUUCGUAUUAUUUGGGAAUUUCACUUGGCAGCUUAAUUUUGCUGUGAGCUCCUUGUAAUACUUUCUCCCGUUACGGUUGUUGGCCUGUGUUUUGGUGUGUUGUCCGUUAUCCAGCAGACAGACUGUUAUUUUAGUAUCGUUAACAAUAACCUAUGCAAAACGCUAGCAAGCGGCUCUCCUGGAGCGCCUGUUCUGAGACUUGUGGCUGUGACAAACCCUGCAUCACGUUUUUGAGUACCUGGUCUCUCGUUCCUCCUGAGACAACACGUAUUUUGUGUGUUUGAAAAAAGCAGAUUUAGGAAGUAUAUUGUAUUUGAAUGAACUCAGCAACAAUUUACGUUUCUUGUAUAGAAUGGUGAACGCAGAGAGAGGGAGUGAAGGCGUAACACCACAAAACCGGGAUCACGAGGAGCUGCGUUACCUUCCUGGAGGCAUCUGCUGCUUUCCAAAUAAUUUCUUUAGGCCAUUCAAAUACUAGUAAAACACGCCAGGCCAACUCUGAAAUCCUUUGUAGAUGGGACAUAUCUGAAAGCACGCCACUUGCUACGUGAAUGGCAGAGGAAGAGAAAAGAACUUCUCCAAAAGCCUGCUGUGAAGCCCACGUUAAGAUGAAGCAGAAACACUUGCCUUAACGGCCAGUAUGCUCUUACAAAUCUCACAGCUUGUACAGAAUAGCAGACCUGAGCUGAUGCCAGGUAAGUGCUGGUCUGAACUCAAACAUCAAACCCCACAGCCCUGCACGGCUGAGUUAUGGAAGAGAAAACUGCAGCAAAAAACUGUGCGGGAGGAAGAAUGACAGAACUAGUUUGUAGCCCACUUCAACAUGUUUCACACAGAUGAAAAAUAUCUCAUAAAUAAAGGUAAAUUGUUAUGCCUGGUCUUAUAUUUAUGAUCAUAAAGGUUAUUUAAAGUCUUCUUAAUUUUUAAGCCACUUCCGUGGCUUAAUCACUGAUAACUUAUUACUGAACUUAUCACUGUACAGUGAAUCCCUAAAUGCUAAUGGUCCACAUUUCUCCCAGAGCUCGGUACAGGCAAUUCUGUGCUCAAAUUCUGUAGUAAAAUUGCAGAGGCUUAGAGCAAAUGCCUACCUCCAUCCACAGGCUAGAAGCUUAUCUAAACUGGCAUCUGUUGCGUAUUCCAGCAAUUACAAACAUACUUGAAACUAGACAUUAUUGAACUCUGAAGUAACGCUUAUUUUUAUCUAGUAAUGGAAAUGGUAAAUGAUAGCAUGGACCUCAUUAAGAUCUAAGUUUCUUAGAAUAGUGUACCUAAGAACUUAAUACAUAAGUAACAAGAUAAUUUUUUAGUACCCAUGUAUAGCAAAGACCUAAAGAGUAGAAUCCUGUCUCCAAUGAGAUCAAUGAGGAUUUUACUACUUACUGCAGGGGUGCCUGGAUUCUACCCGGGAUCUCUGAGAGUGUGCUUUUUGUAUUGGCAAAUGCUUAUGUAAUGUGAUUCUUUGGAGAAAUUUAAUUAAAGAGAAAUGUGUAAAGCACUUGGCAUUAAGUGGUCUAAGUUUGUUAACAUACAGUAUUUAGAAUGAAGCCCAAAUUAGAAGCAAACGAUGCUAACUUAACUGUGAGCAUUUGAUAAAAAUUACUUUAUGGAGAAGCUUGUAUAGACUCUUGGCGUUUUUGUUUUUAACAAGUAUUUUCUAUAUGCUUUCAUUUCUAUGAUCCAAACAAAUUUAGAGGCCUUAUUUGAAACGUUGCAAGCUGAAGCAAACCCCAUUGACUUGACUUUAUCUUUGCUCUCAGUUACACCAGGGUCAGCAAUUCUUUACUGUAACUUAAUACUGAGUAAGUAUUUUUGCUAACUGCCGAAAUCGAGUGGGAGGAGGAGUCCAGCAACAGAAGAACUCUUUUACUUGCGCUUGUGUUUACAGUACCGGUUCAUAUCCUUAGCGGUUUUUAUUUUUAGGAAACAAAUGUGUAAUACCCAUGCGGCUAAGAUUAUCUUGGUUGGAGAUUCUUGUUGUUACCAAAAAUUUAUGUGAUUCCUCUAACAGAGAUGGAGCAUCUCCGGCUUCUCAAACAGGCAAGCAGACUUUGUGAGGCUGAUAGUUUUGGGGAAUAUGUUUUGGACUAUGCUGACUUAAAAACAUGUACAAUUAACAUAGCUUUCUGGUUAUGGCAUUCCAAGUUACCAGAUCAGGACGAUACAUGAAAAAAGCAGGCAGAUAAGGCAUCAUUUGCCCAAACAUGUCAUCAGAAACUGACUUCCUAAAGGUAUGUCUCAAGCUGGAGAAUGAAAACACGGAUGUGUGAUAUUUUUCCAUUUCAGAGCAAUCAUUGUAAUAUCACUAUGAUGCAGACUACCUUCACGACUUCUUAAUCCCAGUACUGACAGAGGGAAAGUAAUCUAGAUUCCUAGAAGCAUCAUGUUGGAGAACUCUCAGUUUAGCGCAAAAAUUCUUGAAAAUAUAUUUGGUGGAGAACUGGGCCCAGCUGACAGUAUUGGGGAAAAGAAGAUUUUCUUUGGCGUGGGACACCGCGCUGUGACAGCCUCUGUUCUUAGGGAAGAAUCUCUAAUCUAAAACGUAUCAGACUAUUUCUCUCUCUUGUAAUCUCCUCCUAAAUGAAAACAGAAUUAUUCAGCUUUUUUCACAAUGCAUAGAAAAGUUUGAAGUUAAAAAUAAAUCUCAGAUCCUUCUCAGAAGAGGGACAAUGACUGUCUUUUUAUUUUUAAGAAAAAAGCACUCUGGUCCCAUUGCCCUCUGCAAAACCGUAGGUCAUCACAGAAAGGUUUUUUUGGUAUUUGAGGCUCAGUUUCCCCAGUGAUAAGCACUUACGGCAAUGAGAACUGCAGCAGUUUCAGAGAAGCGGGACAUCUUUGCUGCUUGCAGUACUACCACAACAUGUCUGACUCCAGCACCAGAGAGCUGGCAUAUAAAUGGAAUGAAAAAUUCACUGAAGUGCUUUGAUGUUGCAUAUAUGCAGAAUUUGAAAGGAAUAGGAGAGUUUAUUUUUAAAAGGAAAUUAAUAAAAGACAUUAUAAGGCUAUGCAAAAUAAUGGGUGGUAUAAAGGAAGGUCCGGAAAUUCUUGUUGUUUUUCUCGCCAUACAAGGAACAUGGGCAUUCA